rfam:Loktanella sediminum strain DSM 28715 genome assembly, contig: Ga0131264_107
GGGCACCUACGGGGGCCUUCACCAUAUAGCCUCGGCCUAAACACCGGGGCGCCAAGCAAACGGAAGAAGCUA